UACGUAGGCAGCGAGCGUUGUUCGGAGUUACUGGGCGUAAAGGGUGCGUAGGCGGUCCCUUAAGUUUGGUGUGAAAUCUCCCGGCUCAACUGGGAGGGUGCGCCGGAUACUGUGGGGCUAGAGUGCGGGAGAGGAAAGUGGAAUUCCUGGUGUAGCGGUGAAAUGCGUAGAUAUCAGGAGGAACACCGGUGGUGUAAACGGCUUUCUGGACCGUAACUGACGCUGAGGCACGAAAGCGUGGGGAGCAAACAGG
rnacentral:rRNA from 1 species